AUAUUUACCUAGGAGGGGAUCAGCAUCGUCAUGCCUUGAUCCCACAGCUUUCCCAGGGAGAGGCUCAUCUAUUUCACUCUGGGUGUGUUAAUCCCUGUGAUUUCUUCAAAUGUGGGAAACUCAACCCUGUAAUUUGUGAUAGUGGGAGACAGUGCUCACACUCUCCUCUG